rnacentral:rRNA from 1 species
AUCGAACGCUGGCGGCAUGCCUAAUACAUGCAAGUCGAACGAGUGGCGGACGGGUGUGUAAUGUCUGGGAAACUGCCUGAUGGAGGGGGAUAACUACUGGAAACGUUAGCUAAUACCGCAUCCCAUCAGAUGUGCACAGACGGGAUUAGCAAGGUGGUGGGGUAACGGCUGACCAAGGCGACGAUCCCUAGCUGGUCCCAGAGGAUGAACGGCCACACUGGGACUGAGCCACGGUCCAGACUCCUACGGGAGGCAGCAGUGGGGAAUAUUGCACAAUGGGCGCAAGUCUGAUGCAGCACUGCCGCGUGUAUGAAGAAGGCCUUCGGGUUGUAAAGUACUUUCAGCGGGGAGGCGUUACCCACAGAAGAAGCAACGGCUAACUCCGUGCCAGCAGCCGCGGUAAUAC